CCGCUUUCAUGUGCCUUUUGUUACUGCUAUUUAUCCGCUCCCCGCCUGACGCCUUGCUGUUUUAGCUGCCUUAGUACAUAGGUCCCUGACGUGUGCUUGUUCUCUUGAGGUUGCUUUGGGGCGUUUAUGAAUUUAAACAGAUCAGCUGCCGUCGACGUCCUCAUAGAAUCUCUUCUCACAGACCUGCGGCGCAUUCCUAUACAUUGCCUACUCAGAAGUAAGCCCCCCAGCGAGGCAUGGGCCUCUUCCAGACUUUGAGGCCCUAGCCUCUGCUCUCCCCCCCCCCCCCGCAAGACGAAAAGGAGCUCGUACCGGUACUCACCAUGAAGUUGUUGCAUGAGACAAUGAGAGGGAAAGCAAGCAAGGGAGGUACAGGGACAAUAAACUCAGCCAACUCCUAACAACAUGAUGGGUUUACAAUCUCAAGCAUACUUGCCAUUCAAACCAGUGAGACUAAUUUCUGAGUAAACAUGGGUAAGACUGGGCUGCAAGAUUCAUCCUCGCUCCAUUUGAACUGACCAGGAGUUAUAGCGGGGCUGCUACUCAACAUUAUGCAAAUGAGAUGCCAAAAGAGCUCUUUGUUAGAGUAAAAUCUUCUGUUCCCUGAAUACUGUUAACUACAUUGUUAGAAGUACAAUUUGUGAUUGUGUUCCUCAUGGCUGCCUUAACUCCACUGUUAAGUUUGAUUAAGCCUUACAGAGUUAUCGUCUCUAGAGUAGUAUAGAAACUUCAUUACUUCACAAAUGAAAAGCCCAUUGGAUAGAACAUUGUUAACCAAGGCAGAAAGACAGGCUGGGUCACUCAAUUGAUCUUUCAUCCCAAAUUUAAGCUUUAUGUGCCCAUUUCUGUUCCAAUGCAAUUAAAGAUGAGUGAAUUGAAGUUCAGUUUAGUAUAGUGCCAUGUAAGUCUGAAGCUACUUACAUGGCACUAACUAACACAAUAGUUAUUAAUUUACGGUUGCCAUAUUUCAAAAAGUAAAAAACAGUUGUUGAGCGUUUUUUAGGAAGACCCAAAAUACCGUGAUUUUUCGAUUACGCGUGCCUAAACAAAUGUAUGGCAGCCCUAUAUUAAUUACUGUCUCUAAAUAAGAUAAAAAGUUAGCCUCUUUUGGCCUUUUAAAGAAGAACCAGUGUGGAAUAAUGCCCCCCCCCAGUGAGAGAGGGAGGGCAGGAUCCAUACUGGGGUCAGAAUAUGGGGAUUAAAAAUUGCGAUAGGGCUGAAAAGUGGAAACGUAGUUGGGUGGCAUUGUGUAACUGCUAGAGAAUUGGGGGGGCAG